CUUAAGGGGUUAAAUAAACUGCAAUGUGAUGUGAAUUUCCAAAGUUAAAUAUAUAAAAAGCAGCGUGACUUGUUUUUAUACUAAUUGUUUCUACUUCUACUUGUACUUGCGUUUUUAUAAUGAAGAGCGAUAUUAUGUAUGUUCUAAAUGUUGCAUUGUUUAACUUGUCACCUGGAACGAAGAAGUGUAAUUUUCUCUGUACCCGAAUGUUAUUUACAACAAGUGAGAUUCUAUUUCCUUCCCCUAUUAGAUAGUAUUUAUCAUGACAUCUUGUCAUAUAAUUGUACAGAGGAUUGUUAAGAGAACAGGCACUAGACCAAUAGAACAUUCUUUGCAUUCGUGAUUUUUUUUCUCAUUACCAAUAAUGAC